GCGCGUUGAGUGGCGGUGGCGCGGUGAAUGCGUAGGAGGCGUGCGUUGGCCGGAUUUAUUGGGCGUAAAGAGUUCGUAGGGGUGGUGUCAAGUCUGAGGUUAAAGAUCGGGGCUCAACCCUGGGACUGCAUUGGAUACUGGCAGACUUGAGUGUGGUAGAGGCUAGUGGAAUUCCCAGUGUAGCGGUGAAAUGCGUAGAUAUUGGGAAGAACACCGGUGGCGUAGGCGACUAGCUGGGCCAUAACUGACACUGAGGAACGAAAGCCAGGGUAGCGAAUGGGAUUAGAUACCCUUGUAGUC
rnacentral:rRNA from 1 species